CGUGGGCAGCUAUACAUGCAGUCGACGGAUCAGGGGGCUUCGGUCCCCUGGUUAGUGGCGCACGGGUGCGUAACGCGUAUGCAACCUACCUUCUAUUGGGGGAUAGCCCGGGGAAACCCGGAUUAAUACCGCAUAACACCAUGACUUGGCAUCAUGUUAUGGUUAAAGCUUCGGCGAUAGAAGAUGGGCAUGCGUGCCAUUAGCUAGUUGGCGGGGUAACGGCCCACCAAGGCGACGAUGGCUAGGGGUUCUGAGAGGAUGGUCCCCCACACUGGUACUGAGACACGGACCAGACUCCUACGGGAGGCAGCAGUAGGGAAUACUGGGCAAUGGGCGAUAGCCUGACCCAGCCAUGCCGCGUGCAGGAAGAAGGCCUUCUGGGUUGUAAACUGCUUUUAUCUAGGAAGAAAACGCCCAUGCGUGGGUAACUGACGGUACUAGAUGAAUAAGCACCGGCUAACUCCGUGCCAGCAGCCGCGGUAAUACGGAGGGUGCAAGCGUUGUCCGGAUUUAUUGGGUUUAAAGGGUGCGUAGGCGGCCCGUUAAGUCAGCGGUGAAAUCCCAGGGCUCAACCCUGGAACUGCCGUUGAUACUGGCGGGCUUGAGUUCGGUCGAGGCGGGCGGAACUGGCGGUGUAGCGGUGAAAUGCUUAGAUACCGCCAAGAACCCCGAUUGCGUAGGCAGCUCGCUUGGCCGAAACUGACGCUGAGGCACGAAAGCGUGGGGAGCGAACAGGAUUAGAUACCCUGGUAGUCCACGCCGUAAACGAUGAUAACUCGAUGUUGGCGAUACACUGUCAGCGUCCAAGCGAAAGCGUUAAGUUAUCCACCUGGGGAGUACGCCCGCAAGGGUGAAACUCAAAGGAAUUGACGGGGGCCCGCACAAGCGGUGGAGCAUGUGGUUUAAUUCGAUGAUACGCGAGGAACCUUACCUAGGCUAGAAUGCGCGUGACCGCACCAGAGAUGGUGCUUCCCUUCGGGGCACAAAGCAAGGUGCUGCAUGGCUGUCGUCAGCUCGUGCCGUGAGUGUUGGUUAAGUCCCGCAACGAGCGCAACCCCUGUCUUUAGUUGCCAGCCACGUAACGGUGGGGGACUCUA
rnacentral:rRNA from 1 species